rnacentral:lncRNA from 1 species
UGAGUAUCUCCAUCAGAACCGUUGGAUCAUGCUUUUAUAACACAGACCCCACUGGUACAAUGACGUGGCAAAGUAAGUAAAAAAAUAGAUACUGAGAACAAAAUUUCACUGUGACAAAAACAGAAAGAUUGUGACAUGAGUCAUAAGAUGAAAUGAAUGAAACCCAAGUUAUUAUUUCUUCUCUCCUUCAAAAAAAAUUCAUCCUUUUCACAUUUUUUUUCUUUCUCUACACAAGAUUUUUCUUUUCCUCUGCUCAAAAACCAAACUUUUUCAAUUCCAAACUCAGAAAACCGCUUCUUUGGAUCACACCCUUUUUCUCUCUCUUCUUCUUCUUCUUCUUUUCUUCUGCUUGAAGCUUUUGCAUCAUUCCAAACAAAGCCCACAAUUUUUUACCCUUAAUCAAACCCUCUGAUUCAGCUGAAUGCUAAUGAAACUGAGAUGAACAGUUUCCAUUUCUGGGUCUUACCUUUUCUCUCUUUUCCUGCUUAGUGUCAAACAGAGCAGCAGGACUAUUCAUUCAUGGCAGCAAAGCGCGUGUAUCAAGUUUGGAAAGGAAGUAAUG